CUUCGGGUAUUGAGGAUGGCGGACGGGUGAGUAACGCGUAAGGAACUUGCCUCUUGGUCUGGGACAACUGUUGGAAACGACAGCUAAUACCGGAUAUUAUGAGAUUCUCGCAUGGGAAACUUAUGAAAGCUAUAUGCGCCAAGAGAGAGCCUUGCGUUCCAUUAGCUAGUUGGUGGGGUAACGGCCCACCAAGGCGACGAUGGAUAGCCGGCCUGAGAGGGUGAACGGCCACAAGGGGACUGAGACACGGCCCUUACUCCUACGGGAGGCAGCAGUGGGGAAUAUUGGACAAUGGGCCACAAGCCUGAUCCAGCAAUUCUGUGUGCACGAUGAAGGUCUUCGGAUUGUAAAGUGCUUUCAGUUGGGAAGAAGAAAGUGACGGUACCAACAGAAGAAGCGACGGCUAAAUACGUGCCAGCAGCCGCGGUAAUACGUAUGUCGCAAGCGUUAUCCGGAUUUAUUGGGCGUAAAGCGCGUCUAGGCGGAAAAAUAAGUCUGAUGUUAAAAUGCGGGGCUCAACUCCGUAUUGCGUUGGAAACUGUUUUUCUAGAGUACUGGAGAGGUGGGCGGAACUACAAGUGUAGAGGUGAAAUUCGUAGAUAUUUGUAGGAAUGCCGAUGGAGAAGUCAGCUCACUGGACAGAUACUGACGCUAAAGCGCGAAAGCGUGGGGAGCAAACAGGAUUAGAUACCCUGGUAGUCCACGCCGUAAACGAUGAUCACUA
rnacentral:rRNA from 1 species